rnacentral:lncRNA from 1 species
UUUGAUAUCCUCUGCUCCAGACGACCCCUCUUCGACCAAGCGACCCCCUGCCCAUCGACAGAGCUCCUUCUUCGAAGCAGAGCCAUCUUCAAUGGUUUCUUCCUAACCACACCCUUGAACAUCACAACAACCAGCUUAUCUCCAAGCAUUCCGACGACCAGCAAAAAAAAAACCAGUAACUAGCGUCCACCCUCUUCAUCGAGCAGCCUCAGCUUCCUCAUGUCAAAAUGACCACCCUUGCGCAUGCCUUUAUUCCGUUUCCUCUAGCCAUUUCCACCAGAAUAUAACCACAACACCAAAACAAAAAGACGAAAACAAAGCUAGCCAUGGUUGCUUGAAACUCGUUUUAAAAAAAAUGCUCUAGAAGCUUGACAGAUUAACGAGCACCACCAGCGAAACAGGCCCAGAAACGACCAUGAAGUAGUAUCUUAGAUCGCUACGAAUUCCCUCGUGAAAUAGUGCCAAGAUUUCAGUCGAGUUUGAGGUCGCCGACGAGUUCUCCAUUUGAGGUGCUUGUUCGUGGCUCAGUCGCUCUUUAAUUUUCAAGUUAUCCAACAAACAAAGUUCAAAUUCGGUCUAAUAAAAAAGUUCUUCUGACUCUUGUUCUUGUAUUUUCUUUGUAUUUUAUGUGUACGGAUAUAAUAUUACUCUUAAAU